rnacentral:rRNA from 1 species
GACGAACGCUGGCGGCGUGCUUAACACAUGCAAGUCGAACGGAAAGGCCCUGCUUUUGUGGGGUGCUCGAGUGGCGAACGGGUGAGUAACACGUGAGUAACCUGCCCUUGACUUUGGGAUAACGUCAGGAAACUGGGGCUAAUACCGGAUAGGAGCUCCUGCUGCAUGGUGGGGGUUGGAAAGUUUCGGCGGUUGGGGAUGGACUCGCGGCUUAUCAGCUUGUUGGUGGGGUAGUCGUUUACCAAGGCUUUGACGGGUAGCCGGCCUGGGAGGGUGACCGGCCACCAUGGGACUGAGAUACGGCCCAGACGCCUACGGGAGGCAGCAGUGGGGAAUAUUGCACAGUGGGCGGAAGCCUGAUGCAGCAACGCCGCGUGCGGGAUGACGGCCUUCGGGUUGUAAAACGCUUUCGCCUGUGACGAAGCGUGAGUGACGGUAAUGGGUAAAGAAGCACCGGCUAACUACGUG